rnacentral:rRNA from 1 species
GUCGACGAGUUCUCGUUGAUGAUCGGUGCUUGCACCGAGAUUCAACAUGGAACGAGUGGCGGACGGGUGAGUAACACGUGGGUAACCUGCCCUUAAGUGGGGGAUAACAUCUGGAAACAGAUGCUAAUACCGCAUAGAUCCAAGAACCGCAUGGUUCUUGGCUGAAAGAUGGCGUAAGCUAUCGCUUUUGGAUGGACCCGCGGCGUAUUAGCUGGUUGGUGAGGUAAUGGCUCACCAAGGCGAUGAUACGUAGCCGAACUGAGAGGUUGAUCGGCCACAUUGGGACUGAGACACGGCCCAAACUCCUACGGGAGGCAGCAGUAGGGAAUCUUCCACAAUGGACGCAAGUCUGAUGGAGCAACGCCGCGUGAGUGAAGAAGGCUUUCGGGUCGUAAAACUCUGUUGUUGGAGAAGAAUGGUCGGCAGAGUAACUGUUGUCGGCGUGACGGUAUCCAACCAGAAAGCCACGGCUAACUACGUGCCAGCAGCCGCGGUAAUACGUAGGUGGCAAGCGUUAUCCGGAUUUAUUGGGCGUAAAGCGAGCGCAGGCGGUUUUUUAAGUCUGAUGUGAAAGCCCUCGGCUUAACCGAGGAAGCGCAUCGGAAACUGGGAAACUUGAGUGCAGAAGAGGACAGUGGAACUCCAUGUGUAGCGGUGAAAUGCGUAGAUAUAUGGAAGAACACCAGUGGCGAAGGCGGCUGUCUGGUCUGUAACUGACGCUGAGGCUCGAAAGCAUGGGUAGCGAACAGGAUUAGAUACCCUGGUAGUCCAUGCCGUAAACGAUGAAUGCUAGGUGUUGGAGGGUUUCCGCCCUUCA